rnacentral:rRNA from 1 species
AUUGAACGCUGGCGGCAGGCUUAACACAUGCAAGUCGAGCGGAGAGAGGUAGCUUGCUACUGAUCUUAGCGGCGGACGGGUGAGUAAUGCUUAGGAAUCUGCCUAUUAGUGGGGGACAGCAUUUCGAAAGGAAUGCUAAUACCGCAUACGUCCUACGGGAGAAAGCAGGGGAUCUUUGGACCUUGCGCUAAUAGAUGAGCCUAAGCCGGAUUAGCUAGUUGGUGGGGUAAAGGCCUACCAAGGCGACGACCUGUAGCGGGUCUGAGAGGAUGAUCCGCCACACGCGGACUGAGACACGGCCCAGACUCCUACGGGAGGUAGCAGUGGGGAAUAUUGGACAAUGGGCGGAAGCCUGAUCCAGCCAUGCCGCGUGUGUGAAGAAGGCCUUUUGGUUGUAAAGCACUUUAAGCGAGGAGGAGGCUCUUAAGGUUAAUACCCUUGAUGAGUGGACGUUACUCGCAGAAUAAGCACCGGCUAACUUUGUGCCAGCCGCCGCCGUAACAC